rnacentral:misc_RNA from 1 species
AACGCACAUUGCGCCCUUUGGUAUUCCAAAGGGCAUGCCUGUUCGAGCGUCAUUUGUACCCUCAAGCUUUGCUUGGUGUUGGGCGUCUUGUCUCCAGUUCGCUGGAGACUCGCCUUAAAGUAAUUGGCAGCCGGCCUACUGGUUUCGGAGCGCAGCACAAGUCGCGCUCUCUUCCAGCGAAGGUCAGCAUCCACAAAGCCUUUUUUCAACUUUUGACCUCGGAUCAGGUAGGGAUACCCGCUGAACUUAA